CGCGGAGUGGAGCAGUCCGGUAGCUCGUCGGGCUCAUAACCCGAAGGUCGUCAGUUCGAAUCUGGCCUCCGCAA
rnacentral:tRNA from 1 species